rnacentral:lncRNA from 1 species
CAAAUAUGGACAUCUAAUGAGGCAAAAUUUUCAUGACACAAUAUUCUUGAAGGAAGUUGAAGCAGCAUUUCUUUCAUUCUUUGCUUGUGCAUAUCUUCUCUUCGUUUUUUCCUAGCCUCUGAACUUGUAGAAAGUUGGAAAAAUCCAAAUCUUUGAAAAUUCCAUCGUGUAUGAUUUGAGUUGCGAAAAAGUCCAGAUAAAUAUCCUACAUCUGAAUUGAGUGAUUGAAAUGGUCUCGAGAAUCCAGUCACAGGUAGGCUAAGAACAUUUCUAACGAGAAAAGAUCUUCACUUGGCCAUAGACAUCUUUUGGAGACAAA